GGGACUGACUUUCACCGCCGCCACUCGUUUCUGAAUUUCACAGUGAUUCUGAUUUCCUGGGUCUCGCGCAAUUGCUUCAGUGCUGCUACGAAUCAUGUCAGCUGUGUUUAUUGGUUCAGGAUUCUUCCUUUUGACUCUGGUCUUCCUCCACAACAACACUCACUUCACAUCGGCUUGCACGUCUGCUCCCAAAUCAGGAGCUGGUGUGAGAACUUCAAAAGCACGGUGAUUUCCAGUAUUGGAUAAGUCAAGAAACACUUUUCUGCGAGGCCGGCCCAGGUGGAAUUGUUCAGUCAAAGACAAAAAGCAAGACAAUUUUGAAGAUGAAAAAUGAUAUGCAGGCCCAUGAGGACCAGUUUUCACAGGAUCACCUCAUACUUAGAAGAGUACAACUUCAAUAUGAAAUAAAGCAAAUCAACAUGCAGAUCAUCCUGGCUCUCUUUAAAGAUUGCCUCAAGCACGGGACUUUAGGGUCAGUGCCUGGCCAGCAGGGAGGAGUCUUGUCAGGCACAGACAUCAGGCCGCAGCGGGUGGCCCUGCUGCCUCCCUGGCCACUCUACAAUCCCUCUGAAAUAGAGUUAUCCUAGAAAGUGACAGAUUACCAGCCCUAGAGGCUACAGCCCAAUGCUGCCUCCAACAGACAGCCAAGAACACGCAGAGGUAAAGGAAGCCACAGCACCUAAUCUAUGACCCAGAGAAGCUACUCCAGGGAAAAGGAGCAGCCACAUUUCAAUUGGAUCAAUAUUUGGUCUUUGUUUUCAAAUCUGCCCUCAGGCUACAAUAGUUACACUCAUCUUUACUACUGUGUGGGCUUUGGUGGAAUAAAAAGUGUGGCCAUUUCCUACA
rnacentral:lncRNA from 1 species